UUGGCUUUUAUUUAUAUAACGAAACAUUUUAUUUUCAAUUCAAUUAAAUAACAAUAUAUUAAAAAACAUGCUGACCUAUAUACAUUAACAGAACAAAGAUUGUCGGAUCAAUGUCGAGUAAUUUUAAGAAGAAAUCUUGCCCCAACAGCACGUAUAGGAUGAAUUAAAGAAGAAAUACGUGUAAUUGGUUAUAUGAUACAGAGUGAAAAUACUCAAAUAGAAGACGCAACUAGCAGUGGAAAUGGUUAUGAAAUCGUUGAUAUAACCACGACCACAACUCAAUCUCAUGUACAACCAAUCGACCUGAAUAUACAUAAUACAGAGGAAUGAAUCCAACACUUAGGCCGAAAAUACCGAAAACCGAUAACUUCUUUCAACUGCAACACAUCCUCAAAAUAUUGAACAAAAGCAUAAUGAAGUCGAAAAUAUAGAAGAACUUGUACAGUACAUAAGGAGAAUUGGUACAACAGACAAAUUGAGAAGUAAUCUUAAUCCAAAAAGUUCACAAAAAAGUUAAUGCAAUUAACUUCACCCAUAACGAUGCCAUAAACACUUUGACAUCAAAACUAUCAAACUUAGCGAGUAGAUUACGGAAGUAUAAGAAAUGUGAACAGAAAAAAAGAAAACUAAUCUUUUACUACAAAUGAGAAAUAUUUAUUGAAAACUAAACGUUAAAGAUCCAAGAGAAAGUUGUAAUGUCUCUUCUAAUAAGGAUGAGUUUGCAACAAUUUUGAAGGCAAUUAAUGUCCUUACCUAAAGGUUAUAAUCACAGGGUUGUGUAGCGAAGCAAAAAAUCACAGAAUAUAAGUCAUUAUUCAUACGAAUGAAUAUUGUAGAAGUGAAAAUAAUCUCAAAACUGCAUUAAAAAAUUGUAAAAGUGCAAAGUACUAGGCUCAGUUUAAGUUUAAUCUCCUCCUUAAAGGAACGAUUGCGAUAUAUAACAUAAUAACUAUGCAAAAAGAAUCUGAUUCAAAAGAACAAAUCAUAACAUAUUGUAUAAUUUUUAAUCGCGCCUACAACAUAUAUAUGGUGUACAAAUUCAAUCGUACGGAUCAUAAACAAACGAGAUAUUGAAAUUGGAAAAUCAACAAAAUUCUUCAAUUGAAAUGCAAAGGCACAUUCGACAGUGUUAUCUUACUAAUGCUCUGAUUUAGUAUCUACGUGUUCGCAUUCGUUUAUUUUGCUGCUGCAAUGCUGAUAACGAUUCUCCUACCAAAUUAUGCACUUAAUUGCAUAUUAACAGUUUUAAAUUUAAUAUUUGAUGGCUGCGAUUGCAGGUCAGCUUUCAAGGAACAAUUCAGUGAAUUGAUGUAGUUCAAGACGGCCCAUCUCGAAGUGGCGCAAAGCUAUAACCAAAGCUGUGCUCAAGGCCAUGAACUGUGGAAUAAAGUAGACUGUAAAUUGAAUUCAAAAUAACGGGAUGCUGGCGAAAAAUUUGGGCGGACCACAAGUAUCGAACAAAGAAGAAGACGAACCAUAGCAAAAAGUCUUUGAAACAGCUUAGAGGAAGACCGAAGGAAGGAGUAGAAUUGACUGACAAGGAGGAGAAAGUUGCAGAGCUAGCAAAUUUGAAGGCAACGUCGACGGAGUUAAAGGGUCACUGAAUUUGCCGCUGCGAUCAAAUCGUGUGUUUUGCUCCAUCAGUAGAGUAGCGGAGAGUAAAAUUUUAAUGUGUACUUCUUUGUUUGUUUUUAAAUGUUUUUCAUGUGUUUAGAAGCCUUAGUACAAUAGGUGUACCAUUCUUCGAAGAUAUGCCGAAUACAGCUAAGGAGCGCAAGUACGCGUAUGUCAUUUAUUACUUAGGAAGUUCAACAUUUAUUUUCUAUUUAUUGGAUGUAGCUGGCAAUAAAGGCCAAGAAGUUUAUUUAAAAAGAAACUAUCACCAGCACUUCUUAAAGCAUCGCUGGAUUCAAUUGGUUGUAAUACAUAUUUGAAGUUUUGCAGAGAUACACAGACAAUAAGCUCAUCUAUGUAUCAUAAAUAAAUCCAAAAAACUUACACACUUUUAGGUAGUGUUGGAACCAUUCCGCAGAGCCAUUCUCCGUCUCACACCAAUUCUCUGUAGCGAUAUUCGAUCUUCUUUCAUGAAAUAGCAUACGCGGUUAUUUAUUUACAUUAAUAAUAUAAUACGCUAUAUCAAGGCAGCCGAAAAGCGAAACCAUGCUUAAAUAUCUUGGCAAAGAACAAGCGAAGCCUGUAAGCCAUACAAUCCUUAUAAAAAUUAAGAAAAGAAUACAUUCAAAGACUAGAAAAGCUGAUUUGAUUAAAUGCGAGAAAUAUGAUAAAACCAAUCAAUACUAAAACUCUCCCAUUGUUACUACUACUAAUCCUCUGGAAUAAUUAACAGAACAAAUAUUGAUAUUGAACUCUUUCAAAGAGAUGUCAGAUCAUGUACGAUAAAAUUGAGAACAGAUCCCAACUCAGCAUUAGAAUUAGAAAUCUUACACAAUAACAUAUAAUGGCACUCAAAGUUCCAUUACAAAGAGGCUAAAUUCAUAAGCCAAGCAGAUUUAAAAGGAUCACUGAUGUUGAGCGAGACCGCAAAGAUUAAUAAAAAAAGAGCAAGCAAUAACAAAAAAAUUAACCAACGGGUGGCCAAGACAUUAGGUGGCAAACACCCACACGUGUUGAGCCAAAAUCACAUUGACAAUAAAGCUUCGAUCCGGCGGUUAUUUAAUGGCUAUUCAUUUUAGGAAAAAAAAGGAUUUCUAACUGCUGUACAGGAUAAAGUGAUAUACGCAAAAACUAAGUGCAAAACGGUAUACAGAUGAAUGUCGAACAGCAGGAACUAUUAAACAUAUCACAUUAAGAUACACAGGAUGCACAUAUUUCGCGAACAGAGCGUACAAGUUUGUUACUAAUAAAUUUAAUGAAUU